GAGAGAGGCUCGACAGCAACGACGACUGCUAAUCUAUCGCGACCCUGGUUGAACCCCAGGGCUCACUCG
ensembl:Mt_tRNA